AGUCUGGUGCCAGCAGCCGCGGUAAUUCCAGCUCCGCCAGUGUAUAUCUAUGCUGCUGCGGUUAAAAAGCUCGUAGUUGGAUCUUCGUGUUGAUGCCGGUCUGUCUUUGUGACAUGAACUGAUCAUCAGCACUGUUUCGUUGGUUUUCCCUUGAUGCCUUUAAUCGGGUGUCCUGGGUGGCCAACAUGUUUACUUUGAAAAAAUUAGAGUGCUUAAAACAAGCGAUUUGCUUGAAUAUUCGUGCAUGGAAUAAUAGAAUAGGCUUUUGGCUCUAUUUUGUUGGUUUUCGGAGCACAAGAGAAUGAUUAAGAGGGACAGACGGGGGCAUUCGUACUCCGACGUUAGAGGUGAAAUUCUUGGAUCGUCGGAUGACGCACUACUGCGAAAGCAUUUGCCAAGAAUGUUUUCAUUAAUCAAGAACGAAAGUUAGAGGUUCGAAGGCGAUCAGAUACCGCCCUAGUUCUAACCGUAAACGAUGCCAACUAGCGAUCUGCUGGUGUUUUUUCAGACCCAGCAGGGAGCUUACCGGAAACGAAAGUCUUCAGGUUCCGGGGGAAGUAUGGUUGCAAAGCUGAAACUUAAAGGAAUUGACGGAAGGGCACCACCAGGAGUGGAGCCUGCGGCUUAAUUUGACCCAACACAGGAAAACUCACCCGGCCCGGACACCGUAAGGAUUGACAGAUUGAGAGCUCUUUCUUGAUUCGGUGGGUGGUGGUGCAUGGCCGUUCUUAGUUGGUGGAUUGAUUUGUCUGGUUUAUUCCGAUAACGAACGAGACUCCAACCUACUAACUAGUGGGCGAAUCUUCUUGUUCGCAACACUUCUUAGAGGGACAAGCUGUGUUUAGCAGCAUGAGAAGGAGCAAUAACAGGUCUGUGAUGCCCUUAGAUGUCCGGGGCUGCACGCGCGCUACACUGAAGGAAUCAACGUGCUAGAAAACCUUGUUUGACAUAGCUAGGUAACCCCUUGAAAAUCCUUCGUGAUUGGGAUCGGGACUUGCAAAUGUGUCCCUUGAACGAGGAAUUCCCAGUAAGUGCGAGUCAUCAGCUCGCGCUGAUUACGUCCCUGCCCUUUGUACACACCGCCCGUCGCUGCCCGGAACUGAGCCGUCUCGAGAAGACUGGGGACUGCCGACUUAGGGCCUUCACGGGUUUUUUGUCAGUGGAAACCAAUUUAAUCGCAGCGGCUUGAACCGGGCAA
rnacentral:rRNA from 1 species